GCAUCAAUGGUGUAGUCGCUAUCAUACUUCCUUCGGGUUCCUUUGAUCCGGAUGAAUCAUCCUUGGAAGUGGUCCCGGGUUCAAAUCCCGGUUGGUGCC
rnacentral:tRNA from 2 species